rnacentral:rRNA from 1 species
UACGUAGGGUGCGAGCGUUGUCCGGAUUUAUUGGGCGUAAAGAGCGUGUAGGCGGCCAUACAGGUCCGUUGUGAAAACUCGAGGCUUAACCUCGAGACGUCGAUGGAAACCGUAUGGCUAGAGUCCGGAAGAGGAGAGUGGAAUUCCUGGUGUAGCGGUGAAAUGCGCAGAUAUCAGGAAGAACACCCGUGGCGAAGGCGGCUCUCUGGGACGGUACUGACGCUGAGACGCGAAAGCGUGGGGAGCGAACAGG